UUUGGCCGAGUGGUUAAGGCGUGUGCCUGCUAAGUACAUGGGGUUUCCCCGCGAGAGUUCGAAUCUCUCAGGCGACGAGUGUUUUUACUUAUUAGGGUAAAUUACAAACACCCAAAGACCCCUGUGAUAAUGAGACAAAACCCCAUUUUUCUAUGAAAUUCGCCGUUGCAAUAUUUUUUAAUCUCCCUACUUUCUUCUAAUAAUUAUUCCGUACUAUUUAUCUUCCGAAUCUUUCUUCUUUCCCUUUCCCUUUCUCUUCUCACCUUUCUUCUUCCCAAAAAAAACAUAGCAGAUAUUGAGCACGAAAUUCGGUCCCAACACCAGCGUAGCUGAUCCAGUGAUUGCCGCCGACGAUGCUAUGGAUGUCAUAAUAACGAAAUAAAAAAGGCGACUUCUUUCUAUACCACUAGCAACCAACCUUCUCCUUAAAUUCAUUUGUUGGUCAAUCAUCUCUGAUGCCCAUUUGCCAUUUGCUCCUUCUCCCCUCUUUCCUCUCYCUUUCCCUUUCCCUCUCUCUAUCUCUUUCUUUUCCUAUUUCUUAUAAAAACUCCGAAAUUCAACUUCUCAAUUGAGCGAGCCAUAAGGACAGAAUUCCAGACUCGAUAAUGGAGGUGGUGAUACCGGCACCACCCAGCGGCAUGGAUUUUAACUUUGACAGCGCCUGCUCUUCCCCCUACAUCAGCGCUCCUUCCAACCCCAAACGCUUUGGUGAGUUCUUUAGCGCUCCCACUAGUCCUACUAGGGCUGCUACAAUCUACCGUGGCUUCAGACUUCUCCAUCACCAGUGGCAUCGGCGGCAGGGGUGGCUCUUCUUUGGUCAUCCCAUUUGACUGGGAACAGAAGCCUGGAAAGUCGAAAUCAAGUGACACCCAGAACAACAAUGACGACUUCGCCUUUGAUUUCAGUGGUCGGUUUGAGACAGCUUUGCUCACCGCCAAUAAAUUCUUCGACGAAGGUGUCAUUAAACCUUUAAAACUUCCUCCUUGGUUACAAUAGGUUCCUAGCGGAUUUGACGAGUUUGCUACUCAGAAGAGCGUUGUUUCGUCGCCUAGGUCCCCAAGAUCACCAAUCUUGAAGGGGAAAAGUACAAUCCGUGAAGCGUUGUCCCCGCGACACAAGAAAGACUUCGACUCAUUCGCAGUUGCAAUAGAGCAAGCGCGUAAAGGAUCAAAACGAGAUCGAGGGAGAGAAAGGUUCUCUGGUUUGAAUUCCGGCCAUAGGGGUACCCGAUCGCUGUUGCCAUUAGAAUUUCUGCAUUCGCAUGGGAAGAAAAAGAGCAACAGCAAAGCACCAAACCCGCUUUGUCAAAUUCAAAAUCCUCUUCUACAUCGUUGUCGUCUUUGAAGGGGAGCAAGAAAUGGAGGCUGAAAGAUUUUCUGUUGCUCCGAAGCGCUUCAGAAGAAAUUUGUUAUCUAUGGAUGGUCAGCUGUCAUCACUGAUCGGCUUCUUCAACUCCACAAAUUUCGUCAAUCAAUCUCAACCCCAAUAUAUCUCUCCCUAUUUGCUCCUGCUCCGACUCCGGCAACAGACUGUGGCGGUAAUGAUAUGUGGUGGAAGAAUGGUUCGGAGCCGAAGAAGAAAAGGUUAAAAGAAUAGGAUUUCUUGGAGAACAACUCCCAGAUAUCUUCGGUGGAUUUCUUGCAAACACGGUCGGUUUCCACAGGUUUGGGGUUGUCCCUAGAUAAUAGGUGUAUGGCUUCUUUAAGUGAUUCACCUCUUUUCUCGCUCCUCGAUGACGAUAUCGAUGGGGAAUUGCAGAGGCAAGAGGCGGAGAUGGAUCGAUUCGUCAAAGUUUAGGUCUGCCUUUGUUUCGAUUUUUUCCCAAUUCUCGAGCUUCCGAUCAAUCGACAGCUCCGGUUCGAGGAGAAGAGGGCCAGUUUCAGCUCACGAGUUGCAUUACAUGGUGAAUCGAGUGAUAUCUGAGUUGAAGAAGAAGACCUUCUUGCUGUACAAACAGGGUCUUUUGGAGAGAGAAAGGAGAAAGGAAAGAAGAGAGAUCUGGGGAGAGAGAAAGGGGAAAGGAAGAGACAUCUGGGGAGAGGGAGGACUUCGGAAAUCCGCUGCCGCUACAACAGCUACCCCGCUGUUGUUCGUGUCAUGAGGUUAGGGAAGAUGAACAGUAUUUUUCUUCGAAUAGUUAUUAAAAAGGUAAUAUGAGAAUUAAAAAAUAUUACAACGACACAUUUCAACGAAAGGGGGCCUUUGUCUCACGGUCAUAGUACAGGCGUCUUUGUCACCCCCAUAGUACGGGGUCUUUAUAAUUUACCCUAUUUAUAACCCACUCUUGACAUACGUUUACCUGUUGACCAUUUCGAAGAUGGGGUGCGUUGUAUGCAGCUUCUCUUACGCCAUGUGGCGCAUAGUACAUU